UUGUGGCUCCCUUGUCAUUCGGUUGUUUUAUGUAUUUCUUUGCCGGUGGGGUCUUUGAUUAUUUCUUUGGUGAAGAAUUUUCUUCUCGUACGACGGGUGGGACUGACAUUAAGCGCGUCAUUGUGGCUGUGAUCAGCGGAGUAGUAAUGUUGUUCAUUGAAAUGACUUUAUUUGUUAUUCGAACACACGAGGUGGAAUCUCACGAACUAAAAAAGAAGAAAAAGAAAA
rnacentral:ribozyme from 17 species